rnacentral:rRNA from 1 species
GGGGAAGGGCCCUCGCGUGUGCGCGUAGAUUAGAGUUUGAUCCUGGCUCAGAUUGAACGCUGGCGGCAGGCCUAACACAUGCAAGUCGAGCGGAAACGAAGAGUAGCUUGCUACUCUGGCGUCGAGCGGCGGACGGGUGAGUAAUGCUUGGGAACAUGCCUUGAGGUGGGGGACAACAGUUGGAAACGACUGCUAAUACCGCAUAAUGUCUACGGACCAAAGGGGGCUUCGGCUCUCGCCUUUAGAUUGGCCCAAGUGGGAUUAGCUAGUUGGUGAGGUAAUGGCUCACCAAGGCGACGAUCCCUAGCUGGUUUGAGAGGAUGAUCAGCCACACUGGGACUGAGACACGGCCCAGACUCCUACGGGAGGCAGCAGUGGGGAAUAUUGCACAAUGGGCGCAAGCCUGAUGCAGCCAUGCCGCGUGUGUGAAGAAGGCCUUCGGGUUGUAAAGCACUUUCAGUCAGGAGGAAAGGUUAGUAGUUAAUACCUGCUAGCUGUGACGUUACUGACAGAAGAAGCACCGGCUAACUCCGUGCCAGCCGCCGCGGUAA